GGUACAAUUGAAUUGUCAAAUUGUUGUAAUUGUUAGCUGAAUUGCCAUUUUUGUAUAGAUCUUAAGCUUCCUUUGUGGUAAUCUAAAAAUAAAACAGUCACUUGUAAUUCAUCAGUCGUUGUGAAAACAUAAAAAUACUCUCCCGCUCUUUAAUCUCUCAGUGCUGUGAACAAAAUAAAAUAAAAUACAAAAAAAAACCAACUCCACUUAAACUCUACUUCAUUUAGCCCGGCAGAACAAAAGAUUGCUCCAUUGUUUUUCCCCCGCUCUACCAAUCUAGAAGAAGUUACUCUAGUUUAUUUCAUGGUCACUUCGAACCGCUGAAAAUUGAAACCAACAAAAUACCAACAAAUUUCUCUACGAAAAUCACCGCAAGAAUGAGGUAAACUACAUGCUCAUCAGUUUUAAAAGCCGGACAAAACAUCCAACCGAAGACUUACCGCAACCCGGCCAAGAGAGGACCCCAGCCAAGAGGAAUACCGUAGCGAUGCUACCAACCGGCCAAGCGAACGUAGCAGCCAAAGCCGCAGCAAUCACCGCAGGUCCGCUUCCCGACGUCCAAGCGAAAGUCGCAACCGACAAGAUCACCGAAACCGCACCAGUCAUCAUCAAAACAGAUUGGAUCCUGACCUAUACCAGUGUGUGCUCUGUAUGAGGUUCCAUGCCAUACGUUUUUGUCCAAAAUUCCUCAGCAUGACCGUCAUCCGGAGGAUAGAAGUGGUCACGAGACACCGCUAUUGCGUGAACUGUUUGGCUAAAAGCCACGUAGUGCGGUCUUGCACCUCUAUGGCAAGCUGCCGAAGAUGCCAUAGGUUCCAUCACACGAUGUUACAUCCACCAAACAUUCGUGUCACCGUCGGCAGCCAAACCACACAACGACGUCAUCCUCGGCCCAAGCCGCAAAGACAAACCCAGCCCUCAACCAUUCAACGUUCUCAGCUGAACCAGGUCCAAACUAUCACACCACAUACACCAACUACCCAACCUAUCAUUCAACAUCCAUCACCAACCCAGUCCGCCACGCUCACAGCACCCAAUCAACAAAUCAUUCUCGAGGCCAUUAAAUCAUUGGCCAACGUACUUUGUGCCACUAAUAACGGGCCAUCUGUUGCCUAAAGCCAAGGCCGGCGGCAUGUCCAAAGUUGGACAAUAUUUUUUAUUUUUUUUUUUUAUUACUAAAUGAAUUUUAUUUUAAUUUGAAUUUUUAUAUUAAUUGUUUUUACUAGAAGAUUAUUUGCAUUUAAGAUAAAUUGAAUUAUUAUGAAUUAUUAAAUGAACUGUAUUAUCUUAACAUUGUAAAGUAAUCUUGUAAUUAGUAAUUAGUAUUCGGUACAAUUGAAUUGUCAAAUUGUUGUAAUUGUUAGCUGAAUUGCCAUUUUUGUAUAGAUCUUAAGCUUCCUUUGUGGUAAUCUAAAAAUAAAACAGUCACUUGUAA